GUGCUAAGGUAGCAUAAUCAUUUGCUACUUAAUUGGUAGCUGGGAUGAAAGGUUANACUAGUUUACUCAGUUUGUUGUGUUUUGUAAGAAAUUAAAGUCGAGGUAAGAAUUCUUUGAUCUGCUAGGGGACGAUAAGACCCUAGAAGCUUAACAAUAAGAGUAUUUAUUAGUUAUAAAAAUUAAUUUGUUUUACUGGGGCGGUAAAGGUAUAUAAACUAUUAGUGUAUUGAUAGAUCCUUAAAAUAAAGAUAAAACGGGAAAGUUACUCUAGGGGUAACAGUGCAAUAUUUUUGGAGAGAUCUUAUCGAUAAAAAUGUUUGCAACCUCGAUGUUGAAUUAAGAUGUCUACGUGAAGCAGCAGGUACGUGAGAGGGUUUGUUCAACCUUUAAAUUUUUACAUGAUCUGAGUUCAAACCG
rnacentral:rRNA from 1 species